UCCGGCUUGUCGCCGGCGGUCCCCUUAGAGUGCCCAACUGAAUGAUGGCAACUAAAGGCGAGGGUUGCGCUCGUUGCGGGACUUAACCCAACAUCUCACGUCACGAGCUGACGACAGCCAUGCAGCACCUGUCUCCGCGCCCCUUGCGGGGACCGCCCAUCUCUGGGCGCAGCACGGGAUGUCAAGGGUAGGUAAGGUUUUUCGCGUUGCAUCGAAUUAAACCACAUGCUCCACCGCUUGUGCGGGCCCCCGUCAAUUCCUUUGAGUUUCAGGCUUGCGCCCGUACUCCCCAGGUGGGAUACUUAUCACUUUCGCUUAGCCACUCAGGUAAACCCGAACAGCUAGUAUCCAUCGUUUACGGCGUGGACUAC
rnacentral:misc_RNA from 1 species